rnacentral:rRNA from 1 species
GAUGAACGCUGGCGGCGUGCUUAAUACAUGCAAGUCGAGCGAACAGACGAGGAGCUUGCUCCUCUGACGUUAGCGGCGGACGGGUGAGUAACACGUGGAUAACCUACCUAUAAGACUGGGAUAACUUCGGGAAACCGGAGCUAAUACCGGAUAAUAUAUUGAACCGCAUGGUUCAAUAGUGAAAGUCGGUUUUGCUGUCACUUAUAGAUGGAUCCGCGCCGCAUUAGCUAGUUGGUAAGGUAACGGCUUACCAAGGCGACUAUGCGUAGCCGACCUGAGAGAGUGGUCGGCCACACUAGAAGUGGGACACGGACCAGACUCCUACGGGACGCAGCAGUAGCGAAUGUUACGCAAUGGGGGAGAGCUUGGCAGAGCAGCGCCGAGUGAGUGAUGAAGAUCUUCGGAUCGGAAAGCUGUGUUAUUAGGUAAGAACCAAUGUGUAAGUAACUAUGCCGUGCUUGACGGUACCUAAUCAGAAAGCAACGGCUAACUACGUG